rnacentral:misc_RNA from 1 species
CCAAAGUGCAUCACGCACACGGCACACCAAAUACUGGUGGUAGGUGGGCAUUUGAUAUCAUCUCUGCCAGUCAGGAUUGGGGAAAUUAAAGCUGCGGGUAGUCACCUCGUCGGCUACCAAAAUGGCAGCGCUCAACAGCUGUAGCAUCUUCAUCGCGAAAUCAGAUUUUCCGGCGGCCUUCCCAUCGUCAUCAUGGGGAAUGAGUAGAGGCAGCAUUGACUUCGAGUCGAGAGGAUUGCGUGCAGGGAAUAUGAAGAUGGACGCUGGGCGAUCAAAGUUGCGGCUUGUAUGUGUGGUUGGUGGCAGCAAUACGACUGGUAACAGCAAUAGUAGCAGCAGCAGCAGCGAUGGCAGUAAGAAGAAAGCCG